CCGAAUAAAGCGGUAUAGUCAGUAAAGUGACGAGUGUUUAUUUAUUGUUUCCCAUUGAGUAUUCUACAAGUGGCGACGAGAAUUAUUUGGAUAUCUUUCAAUACACAAAUUUCAACUCGAUUUUUUGGUGCCGAUUUUGUAGGGAAUUGAAUUUGCUACAAAAAAGUUCCUUUGAGCAAACACUCUUCAAUCAACGGUUGCUUAUUAGUUGAUUAUUAGCAUUCGGAAAUUGCUUUCUAUGAAUUGCUGCACGCUGGUUCUCCGACUAUAGAAGGCGUUUGGAUUUUUAGUGAUGUUUGUGACGAGUGUCAGAAAACAGUGAAAUAUGUCGCUUACGUUGUGAUUUAAUGCUUGAAGGAUUCAUCAUUAAGAAUAUGAGAAUACAGGUUGGGGAAGAGUUCAAGCUAUGAAUUAAUCAAAUAAGUGUGUCUUACGUACUGUCAUCCUAACAAUACUGAUGAGGUAAUAAUACAAGUGUCAUAUUCUGAAACUUUGACUUUCGCCAAUGAGACUAGUUAAGGAGAAAUAUGGAAUAUUGUUGGGGAUGCAGCAUUGCAACAAAAUUGUAAAACAAAAAGAUUGGAUUAUUGAAAGAAUACAUUUUUUCUCGUAACCUACGCCCCCUGCCAGUUAACACCAUAUGCCUAGGUUGGCCUCAUGUUAAAUCCGGACCUGGUGGGAAACCUGCUCCGCAGAGCGGAAUAUUCGUCUCAAAGCCGGGAAGGCACUACGAACUUUUCAUUUGACUUUUUGUUUUAUUGGGCUGUUUUCAUUUCCUAUUUUAUCGCAUUCGAUCCGAAAUCGUUACAGACAUUUCGAACGUUUAUUUUUAUCUAAGUCGACUUCAAUCGACACUGGAAAUUAAUCGAGAAAUUGAAUCGUCCCGUUCCGAGAAAUAAAAUGGGAAGAAAAACUAGUUAUUUGAAAUGGGACGAAUACAUUACGAGAAGAUUUUAAAAUCAGUGGCGGCUUCGAGGGGUGGCGAGCAUGGUCAACAAUCGGGACCAAACCCUAAAUAACAAUCAACCACGAACCCAACGGUUGAAGUAGAAUGGACUUUCAAUUCUAUUCCGAAGAUAAUGUCAAGGUUAACUUUGUUUUUCUCAUAUAAACCCCUAUAUGGUACAGAAAUCGAAAAAAGUAGAUAGUGACAUCUCUCCUCACAGAGACGUCAUCCAUGGGAUUGACAGAGAACUCAGUUUUCGAAUAUCAAAAAUAAAUCAAGCCUCGACUUCGACCCCCGACGAGAUUCAUCGUCUGCUUUUCACUGCAAGGCAAACUAGUCGUAAACUAGAGCCUGAAGAGUACAAGCACAUCGUUUUAUUGAUUUAACACCAGGCAGCGCUGUUUCAGCUCAUCUCAUAAGUGGUGCUAAGCUGAACCACAAAUGCAUUGCUGGGCUCGACUAUCCUUGAAGU